CUGUCAGCAUAGAGCCUGGCAGGGCUCGAAAUCACAGACUGCGAGAUUAUGACCUGAGCCGAAGUUGGCCGCUCAACUGACUGAGCCACCCAGGCGCCCCAAUCCUACUGUUGUUUCUAAGUAUCUGGUAAAGAGGUAUAGACAGAGGCAGGCCUCAAUUUUAGUUUUCUGGAAUUCUUUCAUAAGUCAGCUGGAAAACAUUGUUAACAUAGCAAGGUGUACAUUAUAGUGGAGAUAGGGGGGGGUUGCAACCUCUGAGAUAUGUCAAUAAUAUGAAACAAAGUAAAAUAAUUCCUUUUAUUAAUAUUUGAUUUCAUUUUUUAAAAUAAUCUCUACACCCAACCUCGGGCUCCAGCUUUUGACGCCAAUAUCAACAGUUAUAUGCUCUACCAACUGAGCCAGGCAGGUGCCCCUAAAAAAACAAUUUCAAACAAAGUUUCACCCACAUAACAAAUGUGGAAGUGUUAGGUGAGAAUUAUGCCUUGCAGAGACCAUAUUCAAAUUUUAGCAUCUACCAAAUGCACUAGUGAAUAUCCUAUUGAGGAAUUUCUAAAACCUGAGAUUUUUGUCUUCAUUUUGAUGUUCCUGUUCUGAAGACAUUGUAUGGAAUUUGUCUUUGGUAGGGGAUGACUCUGGCUCAGGCUGGAUUCUUAUAUGUGGUCAUUCCAAAAACAUUUUCAUUGGCUCAGUCAGUGAUGACUGAUUUGUGGGUCAAUGGAUCACGGGAGGAUUGUUUGUGACCAUAGAAAACCCUAAAUUGUAUCAAAGGAUAACUUGGAAAAAAAUAGAAUAAGGAGAAAAUAAAGCAGAAAAGGAAAACUCAGAGUGGGUUUAUUAGCCUUGCUGCAGAGAGUGUGAGUAGGUUUGAGACGGAAAGGUCGAGCACAGGUGGACCUGGGGAGGCCAGACAGGCAGCUGGACAAAGCGGGCCCUGGAGGCCAGGCAGUGGGCUCCCAGGCAGGUCUGGCCAGGGCUUGGGAGGCCCGGGCCUCUCUGCUUUGUCAGGCCGGCAAAGCAAAGCUCAGGAAAAGAAACCCUUCAGUUUGGUGAAUUUGGCUGAGUUGAUUUCCACCCCCCGGGCUUGCCUAGUGCUCUCUCAAUGGAGUUCUGAAGGGAAAAGGAGCCACAGGAAACAAAUCAGAAAAAAGACAUCAUGUUCUCCUCCGUCUCCAAACUCGACGCAUGAAUUCUUGAAGAAAAAUUUCCCCCUUUUUAUUAAGAUACAAUUGAUACACAGCCCUGUAUAAGUUUAAGGGGUUCAGCAUAAUAAUGUGACUUACAUAUGUCGUGAGGUGAUUACCACGAUAAGUUAGUCACCAUCCAGCAUCUCCUAUAGAUGCAAACAAAGAAAAAGGAACAAAGUUCUUUUCUUUGUAAUGACAACUCUUAGGACUGACCCUCUUAACAGUUUCCAUAUAUUCCCUACAGCAUGGUUGCCCAUAGGCUUGUCGUAUAUUAAUUAUAUGCUCAGUGUGGUAGACUCCCCUCCCUAAGGAGAGAGAAAAAAAGGGAGAAAAAACUUCAAGGUAACCUGGCUAUGCGCCUACGUGACAACAUCCCUCAUGACCUUGUAAACUGAGAUUACUUAAUCAGACUGCGUGUUUGUGUGUGUUACCAUAUAUGGGAGACAAAGAAAUAGAAAAUGUAUAAAAAACUAUGCCACGUGACAUUUGGUUCUCAGUUCUUCUGGUACGAACCCAACUGAGUGGUACCAGCACGAAUAAAGUUGCUUCCUGGAAAUUAAAAACCUCUGCGUCACGACUCUCUGGGCGAGAACGCCACUACAUUAGUUGGCAGCUUGUGUCUGGGAUUUGGAGAUGGUGCAUUUCCACUUCCUUUGCCACCGAGGUAGAGCCUGAGAGCCGGGAGAAGCGACCUCGACUGGCGCCAAUGGACCACUUGAUCCGUAGGAGAUUAGCCUAUCCCGGUGUGCAGGGGUGAGGGCCCCGUGUGCACCAAUGGAACCCGUGAGGCCCAGGAACCAGCUUAAGGAGCGCCACCCAUGAGACUGUAAAGGUGGCUGAGGUGGGUCCCCAGAUUCACCACAGCUGAGUCAAAGCCGGCAUCUCGAAACUGGGAGUGCGUUCCUGAUCCAUGGGUGCCGUGCAAGCCGACCGUAUGGAAGAAGCAAUCUGCAGCUCCAGAGGCCUGGGGACCCUGCAGCCCUGCUUCAGUCACUCCGGAAGCUAAUCUACGCACGGCAGAAGCUUGGGGAAUCGCCGGUCCGGUGAAAUAAACAGACCGUCCUUGUUGUCCGUGUCUGCCUUCUUACUGUGAUGCGCUGCCACCCCUUGUCUCUCACUGUUAUUGCAAUUUUUGCCCUACCUCUUGCUAUCGGGUUGGCAGAGAUUGCCCCAGCCAGCUGGAAAUGUGGUGAGAGGUUUCUGUUAGCAUUCUCUCUCCUCUGGUGGGUAGGAUGUUUUGUUGGUAUUCGUUGCUUUUCAUCUGGACCCCGUUUGUAUCGUCAUGUGACCCAUGUAUUCGCAUAACCAGGUCAGGCCAGGGAGUCACCUGGACCUUACUAUACUGUACCCACUCCUCAUGCCAGGGAAAGACCUUGGGGACCUGCAGACACAAUAAGACCACCUAUGCUAUCUGCCAGUGGGGGAGUCAAUAUACUUGCUUUGACCCGCAGGACUCCCCAAAUGAAGAUUGAUUAAAAGUCCGAUCCUACCGGGAUGGAGGGGGGGCUUGAUCAGCCAGACACAAAUCACUGACCCCAAACGUCCGGUGUCAAUACUGUUUGAUGUAUGUGCAGUUAUAGGUAUUGGCCCAGAGGCAUUUGUUAUGCGAGAAAAAGCAGGCACUUAUCACGGAGGGCCCGAGGACUCUUUUUUUUUUUUUAAUUUUUUUUUAACCUUUAUUUUUGAGACAGAGAGAGACAGAGCGUGAACGGGGGAGGGUCAGAGAGAGAGGGAGACACAGAAUCUGAAACAGGCUCCAGGCUCUGAGCCAUCAGCACAGAGCCCGACGCGGGGCUUGAACUCACGAACCUCGAGAUCAUGACCUGAGCCGAAGUCGGAUGCUUAACCGACUGAGCCACCCAGGCGCCCCCCGAGGACUCUUGAUAUACCGUUUGGAGGCUUAGAUUGGGAGCGAAAAUACCGACUCAAUGACAAGUAUGUAAUGUGAGGAAAAGGGCUUAUGUGCCUAUACAUCUAAGUUUUUAUGCAUCAGUUGGAACUGUGUUUCAUGGGCUGCUUGGGGGAAAAAAAAGGCACAACAGCACUCCUUCAGAAGGGGACACUACAUCAGGUUGUCAAUAAAAACCUGGAACCCUGGCCACCUGGGUGGCUCAGUUGGUUAAGCGUCUGACUUUGGCUCAGGUCCCGAUCUCUCCGUUCGUGAGUUCGAGCCCUGCAUCAGGCUCUGUGCUGACAGCCCGGAGCCUGCUUUGGAUUCUGUUUCUCCUCGUCUCUCUCUGCCCUUCCCCCGCUCGUGUUCUGUCUCUGUCUCUGUCUCUGUCUCUCUCUCUCUCAAAAAUAAACAUUAAAAAAAAAAGCCUGUAACCCUGUUAAUUUCACCAUCAUUAACCCAGAAGGCUACAAGUGGCAAUGGGGCACCCGAAUUGGCAUCCGAAUCUAUGGUGAGACAGAGACCCAGGGACUGUGCUGUAUUUCAAGAGGGUCACUACCACCCAUCUGACCACGUCCCAUCAAGUCUUCCACUCCUUCUAUGAAGAAAUAAGUAGUCCCCCUCCCAUUUCAGUCCCAGCAGGGAACUGGUUUCUAGCCCUGCAGAGACUAUAGCCCAGACCCUAAAGAUCUCUUCAUGCUAUGUAUGUGGGGGAACCAGCGUGGGGAUCCAUGGUCAGGGGAGGCCAGGGAAUUAGAUCCCCUGAGCCUUAUAAUGGAACAAAAUACCCCAGUUCUACUACCAGGGUUUGGCUUCUCAAAACCUCAAUCAUUGGGAAGAACCGUCUUGCCCGAUGGGGGAAAAAGUUCACCAUCCCUGUUGGAAACUUAACAUGCCGAAGCCAAAAGGUUUUAUAAUUCAAUCACCUGGGAAACCCAAUGGUGGGGGUCUCCGGGUCACCUCAAGCCAGACCCCCAUCCCUUGUUUAUCUUCUCUCAUCUCCGAGAGGCCUGGGACAACAUCGAAUGGCAGGCCCCAGGUGGCCUAUACUGCGUAUGUGGGAAAACAGCCUAUACGGUACUCCCUUCAGGCUGGUCAGGGUCAUGUGUGCUGGGGACUAUCCGUCCAUCUUUCUUCCUGCUCCCACUUGCAAGGGGAGAACAUCUGGGAGUUCAAACGUAUGCAGAUAGAGAGGCUCAAAGAAAGCGGUGUGUCCUACAAAUUGGCAAAUGGAAAGAUGAUGAAUGGCCUCCUGACCGUAUAAUCCAAUAUUAUGGCCCUGUCAGCUGGGCAGAGGUUGGGUCCUGGGGCUACCGCACUCCCAUUUACAUGCUAAACCGCAUCAUCAGACUGCAAGUGGUUAUAAUAAUUAUAACCAAUAAAACUGCCAGAGCUCUUAACUUGCUAGCCAAGGAGCAAACCAAAAAAGUGCAAUGUUAUCUAUCGAAAUCGCUUGGCCUUAGAUUACCUGCUUGCUUCUGAGGGAGGUGUUUCUGGAAAAUUUAACCUGAGCAACUGCUGCCUACAGAUCGAUGAUGAAGGAAAAGUCAUAGAGGAGAUGACAGAUCGGAUGAGAAAGGUUGCUCGUGUCCUGUCCACACCUGGGACGAUUGGAAUCCUGGGGAGUUAUUUGGAGGAUGGUUUUCAACUCUCGGGGGAUUCAAAACCCUCAUGUGUAUUAUUCUCUUGAUUUUGGGAGCUUGCUUAAUCCUACCUUGCCUCGCUCCCCUGGUCAUAUGGUCUGUCUCCAGUCUCAUUGAGGCCAUGGUUGAAAGAAAGAUGGCCACGUGUGUAAUGAUGUUCUGGAAAUAUAAACCUCUAAACCAAGAUGAUGCUCUUUGAUCCAAAACAGGGGAGUCUGAGCAUCAAAGGGGGGGAAUGUGGUGGAGCCCCUCCCAAAGGAAUGUGAUGAAAACCUCAAGACAAGGGAGGGUAACCUGGCUAUGUGCACCUAUGUGACAUUCCUCACGACUCUGUCACCUAGACCGCCCCAUCAGACUGUACGUCUGUAUAUUACCAUGUAUGGGAGACAAAGAAGUAGAAAUCGUAUAAAAGGCUAUACCCAGCUGUGCGCGGGGCUCAGUUUUUUGGGUACGAAUCCACUGAGCCCAGGAAUAAAGUUGCUUCCUGGAAAGAAAAGCCUCGGUGUCAUGACUCUCUUUAUGAACCUCAGUCCUGUUACAGACCCAGUCCUGACACCUUCUCUGCUCUGGCCACUGGAAGAACCACAUUCAGCUUUCCCACCUUGAGAGUGAAAGCCAGAAACUACUCAGCACAAACCCCUCGGUUAACCCUCACAUCCGGUGAGACACACACGAACAAAGAGCAGUCUCUUUUGAAGCCCAGGCUGCCUGGAAGAAACAAACAACAACAACAAAAAUGAAUAGCUUUCCCAACAAGAAGCCAGAGGCACCGUGAGAAUGUCCUGAAGGAAAGGGACGGAGCAGCAAGGAACCGAAAGCAGAUUGGGAAGCUGCCGGGACGGCUCGUUCUCUCCAGAAGGACAUCAUAUGGGCACCAGGCCUGGGCGCUCUGAGACAAGAGGAUGUCCUUCUCCCUGGGGACCACCGUGGCAGGUAAAGGAGCCCACGGGGCGGAGACGGCAGGCUGAGGCUGAAUGCUGAGGACACUGGGAGCAGUCACCUUAGUAAACGGCAGGCUUGUCUCUGCUGCCGUCACACUUGCCUCUGCUGUUGAAGACGACAUCACUCUAGCCUCUCCCCACAGGGGUAUGGAGGCCCCCCAUCCUUGGGCUGAGCUGGCUAGUGCUCCUGGAAGUGACUAAAAGGCAGAGAGGUUGCUACUCCUGUCUCUCCCAGGACGGAGGCUGCCGUCCUCUGGAACAGGUGCUUCAAACCACCAGACACGCUGGGCUUUGUCCCCCACUGCUUCUCCCCGGGCAGACAUCUGGUGAGGACACUGCCUGGAAAGAAGGUAGAGGCUUCAGCCUCUGGGGGAGACGGAGCCUCAGAGAAGCUCACCUGAGGAAGAGGACGGGCGUGCUCCCAGGGGAGGCGGCACAACGCCUCCCUGAUGGUGAUGAGAAGUGACCCUCUGCUUUGCUGUAACCACCCACAGUAAUAAAGACAGAAAAGGUAAAGUGGGAGGGCCAAGGAGGGACCAGCUGCCCUACACACACACACACACACACACACACACACACACACCUUGGCCCAGUCUUUCCCUAAGGGCCUAAUCCAGGAACCGAGCGAGAAGGGGGCUGCCGGCUACAUGGAAUGUAUCUGCUGGGGCGUCAGCUGCACUUAACGGGGGCUGGAAGGAAACAACUGGCUGCCGGAGCACAGGAGACAAAAACCCCCAGUAGUGUGGGAGGUGGGGAUUCCUCCCGGAGGAGGCUUCACCCUGGGUCACAUACACCUGGGUGAGGUGGCGUUUCUGGUGUGGGGGGCUGCCCAACCGAAGGUGGGCCUCGUGCCGACCCAGGCCGACUCAACGGAAGACGUUAGCUGAGGCCUCCUCUCCCUGUCCCGUGUCAGUACGUGGUCCUUCGGCCGCAUGGGUAUGUGGUCUAAAAAAGCCAGCGCUUGGAGCCCAGUUUGGGGGGACCCAAGUUUCCCGGAGGUCAAAUCUGCGUGAACAGAAGCCAAAGCACAAAGCGGGCCAACUGAGGUAUGGGCUGGUUACGUAGUUCUAGUUAAAUAUUUCCAAGACUGAUUUCAUAAAAUAACUCUCACUGUAUUUGAAAAAUAUAGGGAGGAUCCAUUAAUAUUUUAUGUGCCCUAAUACUGUAUAAUCUCACUUACAUGUGGAAUCUUAAAAAAAAAAAAUCAAGGUCUUAGAAAAAGUAAUGAGCUUUUGUGGUUACUAGAAGGGGUGGGGAUGGGGAAUUGAAUGAAGGUCAUCAAAAGCUACAAAUUUACACUUAAAAAAUAAGUACUGGGGUACCUGGGUGGCUUAGUCUGUUAAGCAUCCACCUUCGGCUCAGGUCAUGAGCUCAUGGUUCAUGAGUUCGAGUCCCUCACCAGGCUCUGUGUUGACA